rnacentral:rRNA from 1 species
UGGGGAAUUUUGGACAAUGGGCGAAAGCCUGAUCCAGCAAUGCCGCGUGUGUGAAGAAGGCCCUUCGGGUUGUAAAGCACUUUUGUCCGGAAAGAAAUCCUUGGCUCUAAUACAGUCGGGGGAUGACGGUACCGGAAGAAUAAGCACCGGCUAACUACGUGCCAGCAGCCGCGGUAAUACGUAGGGUGCAAGCGUUAAUCGGAAUUACUGGGCGUAAAGCGUGCGCAGGCGGUUUGCUAAGACCGAUGUGAAAUCCCCGGGCUCAACCUGGGAACUGCAUUGGUGACUGGCAGGCUAGAGUAUGGCAGAGGGGGGUAGAAUUCCACGUGUAGCAGUGAAAUGCGUAGAGAUGUGGAGGAAUACCGAUGGCGAAGGCAGCCCCCUGGGCCAAUACUGACGCUCAUGCACGAAAGCGUGGGGAGCAAACAGGAUUAGAUACCCUGGUAGUCCACGCCCUAAACGAUGUCAACUAGUUGUUGGGGAUUCAUUUCCUUAGUAACGUAGCUAACGCGUGAAGUUGACCGCCUGGGGAGUACGGUCGCAAGAUUAAAACUUAAAGGAAUUGACGGGGUCAUAGCUGUUUCCU